AUUGAACGCUGGCGGUAGGCUUAACACAUGCAAGUCGUGCGAGAAAGUAUCUUCGGAUAUGAGCAGAGCGGCGGACGGGUGAGUAACGCGUAGGAAUCUACCUAGUAGAAGGGGAUAGCCCGGGGAAACUCGGAUUAAUACCGUAUACCUCCUUCGGGAGAAAGAAGGCCUCUCUUUGAAGCUUUCGCUAUUAGAUGAGCCUGCGUAAGAUUAGCUUGUUGGUGAGGUAAAGGCUCACCAAGGCGACGAUCUUUAGCGGGUCUGAGAGGACGAUCCGCCACAUUGGGACUGAGACACGGCCCAGACUCCUACGGGAGGCAGCAGUGGGGAAUAUUGGACAAUGGGCGCAAGCCUGAUCCAGCCAUACCGCGUGUGUGAAGAAGGCCCUAGGGUUGUAAAGCACUUUAAGUUGGGAAGAAAAGUUAUUGGUUAAUACCCAAUAACCGUGACAUUACCAUCAGAAUAAGGACCGGCUAAUUCCGUGCCAGCAGCCGCGGUAAUACGGAAGGUCCAAGCGUUAAUCGGAAUUACUGGGCGUAAAGCGCGCGUAGGUGGUUUAUUAAGUUGGAUGUGAAAUCCCCGGGCUCAACCUGGGAACUGCAUCCAAAACUGAUUCACUAGAGUACGAUAGAGGGAGGUAGAAUUCACAGUGUAGCGGUGGAAUGCGUAGAUAUUGUGAAGAAUACCAAUGGCGAAGGCAGCCUCCUGGAUCUGUACUGACACUGAGGUGCGAAAGCGUGGGUAGCGAACAGGAUUAGAUACCCUGGUAGUCCACGCCGUAAACGAUGUCAACUAGCUGUUGGAAAACUAUGUUUUUCAGUGGCGCAGCUAACGUAGUAAGUUGACCGCCUGGGGAGUACGGCCGCAAGGCUAAAACUCAAAUGAAUUGACGGGGACCCGCACAAGCGGUGGAGCAUGUGGUUUAAUUCGAUGCAACGCGAAAAACCUUACCUAUACUUGACAUACUUGGAAUGCUUUGUAAUGAAGCAGUGCCUUCGGGAGCCAAGAUACAGGUGCUGCAUGGCUGUCGUCAGCUCGUGUCGUGAGAUGUUCCGUUAAGUCGGAUAACGAGCGCAACCCUUACCCUUAUUUGCCAGCGAUUCGGUCGGGAACUAUAAGGGGACUGCCGGUGAUAAACCGGAGGAAGGUGAGGACGACGUCAAGUCAUCAUGGCCCUUACGUAUAGGGCUACACACGUGCUACAAUGGAGAAUACAGACGGACGCUAAGCCGCGAGGUGGUGCUAAUCCUAGAAAAUUCUUCGUAGUCCGGAUUGGAGUCUGCAACUCGACUCCAUGAAGUCGGAAUCGCUAGUAAUCGCGAAUCAGCAUGUCGCGGUGAAUACGUUCUCGGGUCU
rnacentral:rRNA from 1 species